rnacentral:rRNA from 1 species
UACGUAGGGGGCUAGCGUUGUCCGGAUUUAUUGGGCGUAAAGAGCGUGUAGGCGGCCAGGUAGGUCUGCUGUGAAAACUCGAGGCUCAACCUCGAGACGUCGGCGGAAACCAUCUGGCUAGAGUCCGGAAGAGGAGAGUGGAAUUCCUGGUGUAGCGGUGAAAUGCGCAGAUAUCAGGAAGAACACCGACGGCGAAGGCAGCUCGCUGGGACGGUACUGACGCUGAGGCGCGAAAGCGUGGGGAGCGAACAGG